UACGGAGGGGGCGAGCGUUAUUCGGAAUUAUUGGGCGUAAAGGGCGCGUAGGCGGCCCGGUAAGUCAAAGGUGAAAUCCCUCGGCUCAACUGAGGAACUGCCUUUGAAACUGUCGGGCUUGAGGCCGGGAGGGGGUAGCGGAAUUCCCAGUGUAGCGGUGAAAUCCGUAGAUAUUUGGAGGAACACCGGUGGCGAAGGCGGCUACCUGGAUGAGUAUUGACGCUGAGGUACGAAAGCGUGGGGAUCAAACAGG
rnacentral:rRNA from 1 species